rnacentral:rRNA from 1 species
UACGUAGGGUGCGAGCGUUAAUCGGAAUUACUGGGCGUAAAGCGUGCGCAGGCGGUUCGUUGUGUCCGAUGUGAAAGCCCCGGGCUUAACCCUGGGGAAUGGCAUUGGAAACUGGCGGGCUUGAGUGCGGCAGAGGGGGGUGGAAUUCCGGCGGUGUAGCAGUGAAAUGCGUAGAGAAUGCGGAGGAACACCGAUGGCGAAGGGCAGCCCCCUGGGUCGACACAUGACGCCUCGAGGCACGAAGCGUGGGAGCAACAGGAAUGAGAUACCGGACGUAAGUCCAGCCAAGUCC